AGUGCCCUUCUGCUCUCUUGACGGCAGUUACGACAGGCCAUUGGAUGUACGACAACGAGGUGGUGCCGGGAAGGGCUGACAUCACCGUUUUGCCCUUGUGUGCAUGCGUGUACCCAAGGGGAGGGUGGAGCGGAGUCGCGUGGUGGAUGGAGGGCGUUAUCCUGCAAAGGGUGUUGGUGAUGGUUUACUUCAUUAAGUGCAUAGCUGUGGACUAUCAGGACAAGAUUAUGACUGAACUAGAGAGGAGAACAUCACCCAGAGAUCUUGGACUUGGAGCUGGAUGCAAGAACUGAUGAGACUCUGAAUUUCCCCUUUUGGGGAGUCUAGGUGGACUAGGCUCCAAAGAUGGCCCCCAGUGAACCACAGCUCCUGCUAUUAAUGCUCAUGUGUACUUCCCAUCUACAUUUGAAUGGGCUGGUCUGUGACUCAUGUUAACCACUUGCAUGCAGUAGAAGUGGUGCUAUACCAAUUCUAGACCUAAUCUUUAAGAGGAUUGGCAGCUUCUACUUUCUCCUUCUUGGAACAUUUGCUUUUGGGAGCUCUGAACCACCAUGAAAUAAGUCUGACUACCUUACUGGAGAGACCCUGUGGAAAGAUUACAUGAAGAGGGAGAGAGACCCUGUUGUCAUAAUGUCCCUGUUAUCUGAAGAGAUGACUCCAGUCCCACCUGUCAUCUGACUCAACCACAUGAGAGGCCCCAGGUGACACCAGCAGAAGAACUGCCCACAUGAUCUCAGUCAACCUACAGAAUCACAAGGGUCAUUCCAGUACCCUCUAUUGAUGAAGUUUAAAAUUCUGCCACCUGACAAAGGAGAAGCUUUUGCGGGAUCCAAGUCCACUAUCACAAAAUGCAGGGCAAAGAAGAGUGAAUUUGGAAUGGAGAACCAAUAAAUUGAUAAUUUGCACACCUUA